UUCUCCUACGGGAGGCAGCAGUGGGGAAUAUUGCACAAUGGGCGCAAGCCUGAUGCAGCCAUGCCGCGUGUAUGAAGAAGGCCUUCGGGUUGUAAAGUACUUUCAGCGGGGAGGAAGGUGUUGAGGUUAAUAACCUCAGCAAUUGACGUUACCCGCAGAAGAAGCACCGGCUAACUCCGUGCCAGCAGCCGCGGUAAUACGGAGGGUGCAAGCGUUAAUCGGAAUUACUGGGCGUAAAGCGCACGCAGGCGGUCUGUCAAGUCGGAUGUGAAAUANNCCGGGCUCAACCUGGGAACUGCAUUCGAAACUGGCAGGCUAGAGUCUUAGAGGGU
rnacentral:rRNA from 1 species